rnacentral:rRNA from 1 species
CAGCCGCCACGGGAAUACGGAGGGUGCAAGCGUUAAUCGGAAUUACUGGGCGUAAAGCGCACGCAGGCGGUUUGUUAAGUCAGAUGUGAAAUCCCCGAGCUUAACUUGGGAACUGCAUUUGAAACUGGCAAGCUAGAGUACGGUAGAGGGGGAUGGAAUUCCGCGUGUAGCAGUGAAAUGCGUAGAUAUGCGGAGGAACACCGAUGGCGAAGGCAAUCCCCUGGACCUGUACUGACGCUCAUGCACGAAAGCGUGGGGAGCAAACAGGAUUAGAUACCCGUGUAGUCCCUGUCUCUUAUAC